GCUCAGUUGGCAGAGUAUGUGAUUCUUGAUCUCAGGGUCGUGAGUUCAAGCCUCACAUUGGGCA
rnacentral:tRNA from 1 species